AGAGUUUGAUCCUAGCUUUGAGUGAAUGCUAUUAAUAUACAUAACACAUGCAAGUUAAAUUUGAAAAAAAUAGCGUAUAGGUGAGUAAUAUUUAAGAAUUUUACCUACUAAUAAAAAAUAAAAAAUAUCUAAUAUUUUGUAAGCUAUACACUAAAUAAAAAACUGUAUAUCAAAAAUAUGAAUGUUAGUAGUCGUGCUUAUUAAAUUUUAAGUAGUUGGUAGUAAAAAAGACUACCAAGCUAAAAAUGUUUAGCUGAUUUUAGCGAAUGCACAGCCACACUGGGAUUGAAAUAAAGCCCAAUUCUUAAGAGAAACUGCAGUGAGGAAUAUUGGACAAUGAACAAAAAGUUUGAUCCAGUAAUAUUAGGUAAAUGAUGACAGCAUCGGUUGUAAAGUUGUAAAACUUGUAAAAAUAAUGAUAUAGAACAAGUUAUUAACCCCGACUAACUUCGUGCCAGCAGUCGCGGUAAUACGGAGGGGGUAAGUGUUACUCAUCAAAACUGGGCGUAAAGGGCAUGUAGGCGGUUUAUUAUGUGGAAAUAAAAGUCUAAAGAACAACUUUAUAUAAUUAUUUUUCAGACGAAUAAACUAAGAGUAUAAUAGAAGUGUGUUGCACUUUCAGUGGAGAGGUAAAAUACGUAAAUAUUGUAAAGACAUUCAAUAGGUGAAGACGACUAGCUAUAUUAUUACUGACGCUGAAGGGCAAAAGCAUGGGUAUCAAACAGGAUUAGAUACCCUGGUAGUCCAUGCUGUGACUUUAUGAGUAUUAAGUAUUAAAUAAAAAUUUGGUAUUUAAGCUAACGCGUAAAUACUCCGCCUGGGGACUACGACCGCAAGGUUGAAACUCAAAGGAAUUGACAGAGGUUAACUCGAGCAGUGGGACAUGUGGUUUAAUGCGAUAUAAAACGUCAAAUCUUACCAGUAAUUGCAUUUUAAAUAUGUAAAAAGAAAUUUUUAAAAAAAUUAAAAUAAAUUUAAUAAUUUAAAACAGGUACUGCAUGGCUGUCGUCAGUUCGUGCUUUGAGGUGUUUGGUUAAUUCCCUAAACGGACACAAUUCUUAUAUUUUAUUACGAUUAUAUAAAAUUAUAUAUAAGUAAUUAAAAUAAAACUGCUACGAAAGUAGUUCUAUGAAAUGAGAACAAAGUCAAGUCAAUAUGGUCUUUAUGAACUGGGCUACACACAUGUUACAAUAGUUAUAUCAAUGAGAAGCAAAUAUGUGAAUAUGAGCGAAUCUUUAAAAUUAACUUUAGUUCGGAUUGUUCUCUGAAACUUGAGAAUAUGAAGUCGGAAUUGCUAGUAAUCGUAAAUCAGGAAGUUACGGUGAACUGUGUAUAAACCUGGUACACACUGCCCGUCACGCCAAGGAAGUUAGGAUGAACUGAAGUAAAAAUAUUUGAAUUUAUAUAAAAACUUAUUUUAUUAAGUUAAAGUAAAAUUUUUAAUAAAUUUAAAUAUUUUAUAAU
rnacentral:rRNA from 1 species